rnacentral:rRNA from 1 species
GAUGAACGCUGGCGGCGUGCCUUAUACAUGCAAGUCGAGUGGGUUUAGACCCACGGCAAACGGGUGAGUAACACGUAGGUACUUUCCUUGUCACAGGAAUAACCCUCCGAAAGGAGGGCUAAUACCUGAUGUGAUCGCAAGAUUAAAGGGUAUCCGCAAGGAUUACCGGACAAGAAGAGGCCUGCGGCCUAUCAGCUAGUUGGCGGGGUAAAUGCCCACCAAGGCUAUGACGGGUAGCUGGUCUUAUGAGGAUGAUCAGUCACAUGGGCACUGAGACACGGGCCCAACUCCUACGGGAGGCAGCAGUAGGGAAUUUUGCGCAAUGGGCGAAAGCCUGACGCAGCGACGCAGCGUGCGGGAUGAAGGCCUUCGGGUCGUAAACCGCUUUUAUAAGGGACGAACUUUGACGGUACCUUAUGAAUAAGAGGUUGCUAACUCUGUG